rnacentral:lncRNA from 1 species
UGCAGCCCUAAAAAUACAAAUAAACAUAAUAAAUAAAAAAAAUAAAAGAGUAACUUUCUUUAGCACUUCUUUUAGAAUGGUCUCACCCAUGCUGAGUUAAAUAUCUUUAUUUCAUAUUCAUUUAAAAGAUUUUUUUGAUGGAUAUGCUUUUCUGGAUAUACUUUUUCUUCUUUUAACAUCUUAAAGAUUUUGUUCCAUUGUAUUCUUAAUCUCAUUGUUUCUGAUGACAUAUCUGUUUUCUGUGUGCAAAACAUUUAUCUUUUUAAGCUGCAUUUUUUUUUUUUUUUUUUUUUGUCUUUACAGAGCUACACCUGUGGCAUGUGAAGUUUCCCAAGCUAGGGGUCAAAACGGAGCUGUAAGCCACCAGCCUAUGCCACAGCAAUGCCAGAACAAGUCACAUAUUUAACCUGCAUCCUCACAGAUACUAGCUGGGAACUCCUAUGGCAUCUUCUUAUCCAUUCAUUUAUUGAGGACAUUUAGUCUCCUUCCAUAUCUUGAUUAUUGUAAAUAAUGCUGCUAUGACAUGAAUAUUGUGGUGUGUGUGUGUGUCUUUUCAAAUCAUGACUUUUGUUUCCUUCAGAUAUUUUCUCCCAUUCAGUAGUUUGUCUUCAUUUUUUUCAAUUAUUUCUUUUGCUGUGCAAAAGCUUUUAAGUUUGUUUAGUUUUGCUUUUGCUUCCUUUCCCUGAGGAGAAAGAUCUAAAAAAUACUUUGGUACAAUUUAUGUAAAAGAGUGUUCUGCCUAUGUUUUCCAGUUUCAUGGGUUUCCAAUCUUACAUUUAGGCCUUAAAUUGUUUUGGGUUUAUUUUUGUAUAUGGUAUUUAACAAUGUUCCGAUCUCAUUGUUUUGCAUGUAGCUGUCCAGUUUUACCAACACCACUUAUUGAAGAGACUCUUUCCUAAUUGCAUAUUCUUUCCUUCUUUUUUCAGAGAUUACCACAAUUGCGUGGGUUUAUUAUUGGGCUCUCCAUUGAUUUAUGUGGUUCUUUUGUGCCAGUACCAUAUUGCAUUAAGUACUGUAGGUUUGCAUUAUAUCCUAAAGUCAGGGAGCAUGACGCCUCAACUUUGCUUUUUCUUAAAAUUUCUUUUGCUAUUUUUUUUUCAUAUAAAUUUUAGGAUUAUUUGUUCUAGUUCUGUGAGAAUGUAAUGGGUAUUUGAUAGGGAGUGCGUUAAAUCCAUAGAUUGCUUUGGGUAGUAUGAUCAUUUUAACAAUAUUAAUUCCUCCAAUCCAUUAACAUAGGCUAUCUUUCCAUUUCAUUGUAUUAUCUUCAAUUUCCUUUAUCAGCAUUUCAUAGUUUUCAGAGUAUAGGUCUUUUACCACCUUGGUUAACUUUCUUUCUAGAUGUUUUAUUCUUUUUGAUGUGAUUUUAAACUGGAUUUAUUUCUUGUUUACUCUUUCAGAUAAUUCAUUAUUAGUGUAUAGAAAAGUAACAGAUUUCUGUAUAUUAAUUUUGUAUCCUCCAACUUUACUGAAUUUGCUGAGUUCUAAUUUUUUUUUGGGGGGGGACUUUAGGGUUUUCUAUAUGUAGGAUCAUGUCAUAUACAAAUAAUGACAGAUUUACUUCUUGUCUUCCAAUUUCAAUGCCCUUUUUUAUUGAAUUUCCACAGCUUGGACUUCUAAUACUAUGUUAAAUACAAGUGAUGAGAGUUGCCAUUCUUAUCUUGUUCCUGAAUUUAGAGGAAAAGCUUUCAGCUUUUCACUGUUGAUAUGAUGUCAGCUGUGAGUUUGUCAUAAUGAACAACUUCCCAAUUUCUACUGUCAUCCAUCCUUUAGACAAAUGACUAUCCAUUUCAUCCUCUUUUCAUAAUUAGAACACGUUCAAUCUCUUCUCAAAUGUAGAUGGUUAAGUCCCUUCCCACCAUUUUAUCUAAUUCAAAUUCAAAUAUCCAAAUAAUGUACAGUUUUUCAUCUUGUGUUUGAUGCUUGAUAUUCUCUCAUUCCCAAACACAAAUGCAUGCACACUUAUGUCUUUGACACAAUCCAACUCUCAUUUGGAAAGAAUAAAAUGAAUUGCUAGGUCAUAAAACUAAAACCAAUACAAUAUUGGAAAUUGAGUAUACUUCAAUUAAAAAAAAAAGAAAAUGGAAUUCCCAUUGUGCCUCAGCCCAUAAGGAUGUGGGUUCCAUCCUUGACCUUGAUCAUUGGGUUAAGAAUCCAGCAUUGCCAUAAGUUAUGGAGUAGGCAACAGAUGAGGCCCAGAUCCCACUUUGAUGUGAUUGUGGUGCAGACCAGCAGCUCCAAUUCAACUCCUAGCCAGGUAUGUUCCAUAUGUAGCAGGUAUGGCCAUUAAAAGGAAAAAAAAAAUCUUCUUUUAAAAUAGGAGCUCUUUAAGUCAUGGUACAUAGUAAUUUUAAAAUUCUUUUUGGUGGAUAGUAUUAAAUCUUCUACUCUAAAAAGAGAGAUCUUUGAUUACACCUUGAUUUUACUUUGUGGGAACAACCCAUUGUUCAAUUUCUUCAGUGUAUCCUUCCAUGUCCAUUACCCACCAUGGCCAUAACUGAAAUGUAUGUUGAGAUACAUUCUUCUUUGAAAGCUGUAUAGUGUUCCAGCAAGACAGCUUCUUGCUCAUGCAAGUUUAAAAUCAAACAUUCAGGAGUUCUCCUGUGGCACAGCAGGUUAAGAAACCAGUGUUUUCACUGCAGUGUCUUGGGUCCCUGCUGCAAUGUGAGUUUGAAACCUAGCCCCAGAACUUCCACACAAUGAGGGCACCACUGAAAAACAAAUAAAAUAAACUCAAACAUUCAAAAAAGUUGGUGUAAGCUAAUAGUUUUGUUGAUAAUAUAGUGUUCUCAAAUACUUAGUAGAUUCUGAUCUAUCUGCUUCCGGCUAGUUUCAUGUGCCAGAAAACACAUCCAAAGUUAUUUUCUAGAUACAAUUUUCAAACUUGAUUAUUUAUUUCCUUCCCCAGUCUCCUACUUCUAUCUCAAAUUAAGAGUGGUUGGCUUGAGGCUAUCUGUGAUAAUAGGCUUGAUUGGAAAGACUAAAUCCUUAAUCUGGACUUUGCUGCCAGGGUUUGUUUUUGUUGUUUUUUUUUUUUCCCUCUUAAAAAUCUUUCUUGACUUGUUGUAGACUGAAAGUUUGUGUCUUCCCACCAAAAUUCAUAUGUUGGAAUCCUUACCCCACCCCAAUGUUACAGUAUUAAGAGUUGAGGGCUUUGAGAGAUGAUUAGUUCCUGAAUAUAGACCCCCUUAUGAAUGUGAUUCAGCCCUCUAUAAAAGAAAUCACAGGAGUUCCCGUCAUGGCGCAGUGGUUAACAAAUCCAACUAGGAACCAUGGGGUUGCAGAUCCGAUCCCUGGCCUUGCUCAUUGGGUUAAGGACCCGGCAUUGCCAUGAGCUGUGGUGUAGGUUGCAGAUGCGUCUCAGAUCCCAUGUUGCUGUGACUCUGGUAUAGGCCGGUGGCUACAGCUCCGAUUUGACCCCUAGCCUGGGCACCUCCAUAUGCUGCUGGAGCAGCUGCAGAAAAGGCAAAAAGACAAAAAAAAGAGAAAUCACAGAGAGCUCCUUCAUUCCUUCAUCCACAUGAGGACACAGAAAGAAGAUAGCUAUCUGUGAGCCAGGAAUUUGGCUCUCAUCAGAUACCAAAUAUUCUAGCACCUUGAUCUUGGAAUUCGCAGCCUCUAGAAGGGGAAGAAACAACUUUCUCUUAUUAAUAAGUCACCCUGUCAAUGGUAUGCUGUUAUAACAGUCUGAAAAACUAAGGGUGUGUGCAGGCAACCAUUUGUUAAGGAGCUUAGCGUGGGUGUGGAACAGGUCUAAACAGCCAUAUUAACAGAAACCAGGUUCUAGAGUUUAGGUUCUGGCUCAGCAGGUUAAGGAUCCAGCUUUGUCUUGUCACUGCUUUAGCUCAGGUAGCUGCUGUGGUAUGGCCUUCAUCACUGGUUCCACAAUUUCUGAAUGCUGCUGGUGUCACCCAAGAAACCCAAAAACCAGAAGCAGGUUCCAUUCUUCCAGACAAGCGAAUAAUGGCCCAGAAUAUGAUUCAGAGAGAUCAUUGGACUGCCACUUUGAGUUUAAAAAGAGAGGACCAUGGCUUUGCUUUCAACAAACUAGAAGACUUCCACCCUAAGCCAAAGAGAAAGCUACUCAGAGUCUUGGUGCCAAUACCGGCCCUGAAUCAGUAGUAGGAUACCUAGCCCAGUAAGUCCAGAAGGUGAGUACAUCUCCUCAAGUGUGUCCAGAGGCAGGACCUCCACCUGGGAGGGCAGAACAUCAAGCCAAAGAGAAUUAUUCCUGAGCCUUAAGAUCGCAUAUGGAUUUUGCCUUGUAGUCUGGAUGUAUUUAGGACAUGUAACCCUUAUUUCUUUUGUAUACUUCCUUUUUGGAAAGAGGAUAUCUAUCGUGUGCUUGUCCAACAAUGACAUUUUCAGAGAGCACAUCACUUGUUUGGUCUCAUACGUUCACAGCUAGAGAGCAAUUUGCCUCAGGAUGAACCUUACUUUGAGUCACACUCACAUCUGAAUUGGAUGAUACUUAGAUGAGACUUUUUGGAUUUUAGGCUUUAGUGCAGAUGCUGAAAUGAGUUAAGACUUUUGCAGCUUUGGAAUGUAUUGAAUGUGUAUCGCUUGUGAGAAUAACAUGAAUUUGGAGAGGGAACAAAUGUUGAUAUAGACUAAAUGUUUGUGUCGCCACAAAAAUUCAUGUUUGAAAUCUCAACCCCAAUAUAAUUGUAUUAGGAUGUGGGGCAUUUGAGAGGUGCUUAUGUCAUAAGGAUAGAGCCCUUGGGAAUAAGAUUAGUGCCCUUAUAAAAGAGACCUUGAAGAGCUCCCUCACUCCAGCAUGUAAUGCCACAGUGAAAAGACCACCAUCUGUAAUGAGGAAGCAAGCUCCCAUUAGACAUUGCUUUUUUCUGGCAUGUUGGUCUUGGACAUCACCAUCUCCAUCUGAUUUUACCUUUAAAGUGAUGCAUUCUAUGUAUUUUUGUAAUAUGUUUUAAUUUCUGUUCUUUAUAAGACCCCCAGUCUGAGGAAUUCUGUUAUACUAUCCUGAAAGGACUAAGACAGAACUUCAUCUUUUAACUGUUUAGGAUCUAGAAACAUUCUUUUUCAGAAUUCUGAAAACUGCAAAAUCUAAUCUCCAUUAUUCCUUUACUAAUUUGUUU